UACGGAGGAGGCGAGCGUUGUUCGGAAUCACUGGGCUUAAAGGGUGCGUAGGCGGGUGACAGGGUGCUUUGUGAAAUCCCCCGGCUCAACCGGGGAAUUGCAGGGCAAACCGGUCGUCUUGAGGUCAGCAGGGGUACCUGGAACUUUGGGUGGAGCGGUGAAAUGCGUAGAUAUCCAAGGGAAUACCGAUGGCGAAAGCGAGGUACUGGGCUGAUACUGACGCUGAGGCACGAAAGCGUGGGGAGCAAACAGG
rnacentral:rRNA from 1 species